rnacentral:rRNA from 1 species
GAGUUUGAUCUUGGCUCAGAUUGAACGCUGGCGGCAUGCCUUACACAUGCAAGUCGAACGGCAGCACGGGAGCUUGCUCCUGGUGGCGAGUGGCGAACGGGUGAGUAAUGCAUCGGAACGUAUCCUGGAGUGGGGGGAUAACGUAGCGAAAGUUACGCUAAUACCGCAUAUUCUGUGAGCAGGAAAGCGGGGGACCUUCGGGCCUCGCGCUCUUGGAGCGGCCGAUGUCGGAUUAGCUAGUUGGUGAGGUAAAGGCUCACCAAGGCGACGAUCCGUAACUGGUCUGAGAGGAUGAUCAGUCACACUGGAACUGAGACACGGUCCAGACUCCUACGGGAGGCAGCAGUGGGGAAUAUUGGACAAUGGGCGAAAGCCUGAUCCAGCCAUGCCGCGUGUGUGAAGAAGGUCUUCGGAUUGUAAAGCACUUUAAGUUGGGAGGAAGGGCAGUAAGUUAAUACCUUAGCUGUUUUGACGUUACCGACAGAAUAAGCACCGGCUAACU